rnacentral:rRNA from 1 species
CUUUACACAUGCAAGUCGGAACGGUAGGAGGGGGCCAACCCCGUUGAGAGGUGGCGAACGGGUGAGUAAUAUAUCGGAACGUGCCCAGUCGGUGGGGGAUAACGUAGCGAAAGUUACGCUAAUACCGCAUACGAUCUAAGGAUGAAAGCGGGGGACUCGCAAGAGCCUCGCGCGAUUGGAGCGGCCGAUAUCAGAUUAGGUAGUUGGUGGGGUAAAGGCUCACCAAGCCAACGAUCUGUAGCUGGUCUGAGAGGACGACCAGCCACACUGGAACUGAGACACGGUCCAGACUCCUACGGGAGGCAGCAGUGGGGAAUUUUGGACAAUGGACGCAAGUCUGAUCCAGCCAUUCCGCGUGCAGGAUGAAGGCCCUCGGGUUGUAAACUGCUUUUGUACGGAACGAAAAGGUUUCUAUUAAUACUAGGAGCUCAUGACGGUACCGUAAGAAUAAGCACCGGCUAACUACGUG